GACGAACGCUGGCGGCGUGCUUAACACAUGCAAGUCGAACGGAAAGGCCCUGCUUUGGUGGGGUGCUCGAGUGGCGAACGGGUGAGUAACACGUGAGUAACCUGCCCUUGACUUUGGGAUAACUUCAGGAAACUGGGGCUAAUACCGGAUAGGAGCUCGUUCCGCAUGGUGGCGUUCGGAAAGGUUCGGCGGUUGGGGAUGGACUCGCGGCCUAUCAGCUUGUUGGUGGGGUAAUGGCUUACCAAGGCUUCGACGGGUAGCCGGCCUGAGAGGGGGACCGGGGCCACUGGGGCUGAGGCACGGCGCAGAACCCCCCGGGGGGCAGAAGGGGGGAAAAUUUUACAAAGGGGGAGAGCGAGAUGCGGCGAAGCCGCGGGUGGGAGAUAGGGCCUUCGGGUUUAAAACCCGUUUAGCAGGGAAGGAGCGAAAGGGACGGGACAUGGAGAAAAAAGCACGGGCUAACUACGU
rnacentral:rRNA from 1 species